GCAUUCUGUGCUCAGUGGUAGAGUGUCUGACUCGCAUGCAGAAGGGCCCAGGUUCAAUCCCUGGCAUCUCCA